ACUAUUCACCAGCAGGAGCUGCGCCGGGGCAGGAGGUGCCAGUGCUGACCCAACGCUGGAAGGCACUUCAGUCUGACCCACUCCUUUGGUCGUCCCUGGCCAGCUCCCUGGAAGGCUGUUAACAUCCUUCUUUAUGAGCUGGGGGCGAGCCAAGUCUCUCACCUCAUCUGGGACUCCCUGGCAGCUACCUUUGGUCUUCUCACCAUGCCCGGUGCCUGCACUGGAGACGUAUGGCUCCUUUCCACAUGCUGGCAACCUCAGGCCUGGCGAGAGCUUCAAUGGAAGGGCAAGUCUCUGUUCCCAUGUGCUCUCAGGUGGAUGACAAGGAGGUUUGGGAAGGGACGUAUGUAUGAAAGAUUCGGGCUAGAACCACAGUGGAACUGGCUGGCAGGAGUGGGUGAGCUACGCUGCUUCUCCGGCUGCUUGCAAAGUCUUCUGGAGGACGAGAAGGUCUCCAUAGACUCAUUUGUGGACAGAAGAAAGUGGAGCGGCUCCCCUUUCCUUUGAGGUCACACUCUGGAACAACCCAGCUCUCUACCUCCCCUGCUUCAAGCCAAGGACUCAAGCCAACUCUCAUCUGGACCCCUGCCUUGGCCCCCUAGUGAUCUUCCCAUUUUCCUAACCCUGCUCUGUAGACUCUGUUCCUAAACUAGGUAUUCAACCUGCUGCAGAAGAGCUUGUCCAGCCA